CCGAGUUUACAACUCCCAAACCCAAUGUGAACGUUACCAAACUGUUGCCUCGGCGGGAUCUCUGCCCCGGGUGCGUCGCAGCCCCGGACCAAGGCGCCCGCCGGAGGACCAACCAAAACUCUUAUUGUAUACCCCCUCGCGGGUUUUUUACUAUCUGAGCCAUCUCGGCGCCCCUCGUGGGCGUUUCGAAAAUGAAUCAAAACUUUCAACAACGGAUCUCUUGGUUCUGGCAUCGAUGAAGAACGCAGCGAAAUGCGAUAAGUAAUGUGAAUUGCAGAAUUCAGUGAAUCAUCGAAUCUUUGAACGCACAUUGCGCCCGCCAGUAUUCUGGCGGGCAUGCCUGUCCGAGCGUCAUUUCAACCCUCGAACCCCUCCGGGGGGUCGGCGUUGGGGAUCGGCCCUUUACGGGGCCGGCCCCGAAAUACAGUGGCGGUCUCGCCGCAGCCUCUCCUGCGCAGUAGUUUGCACACUCGCAUCGGGAGCGCGGCGCGUCCACAGCCGUUAAACACCCCAAACUUCUGAAAUGUUGACCUCGGAUCAGGUAGGAAUACCCGCUGAACUUAAGCAUAUCAAUAAGCCGGAGGAA
rnacentral:rRNA from 1 species